CAAAACGGGAUGAAUGAAAAGAUAUUUUUCAUCCCUGUCAAAGCCACCGCUCACUCUUGGCAACAGCAGAGCUGCCAGGAAACACAGCAAGAUGCAUAUUAACACCUUUCACAAGCAGCUGACCGACAGGAAUUCAUUAUCUCAAACAGGCAAGCGAUGAAACGAUGAGCGCUAAAGGGGGAUUAGAGGCGGUGAGGAUGCAGGUGAGGAACAAAUAUGCAGUCAAUUAAAGGAAAGCAGGACACCAGGCUGAAAUCUAAAGCAUCAAACGCAACUUUAAUCUGACAAACAUCGAAAAAAAGCUAUUGGAAAAUGUCACGAUUAAAAAAAGGACUGAUUUGAUAGAAUUUUUCAUUUGGAUUUUGGGGCAUAAACAAUACAAUUUGGUUAAUUCUAUUUUUUUAAACAUUGUCAGUAUUUUUUUCUAAUUUUAGAACCCAACAAAGCUUCAUUUUUUUCAGUCUGAACAAAGAUGCAGGAGCUUCUGCAGCUGUUACCUAAAUAGAACACAAUAUGCUGUUAUAAAUAGUGUGACACAUUUAUAAAAUAUUGUCUUCAUCUGCUUUGCUCCCUCUCUGCUUGAAUCGCUCUUCCUGUCACUUUUCAGAUGUGGUGGGCUUGGUAAACCUGUCUGGACAGCUGGGUGCUUUGCUCUUUGAGGUGGAAUUGAAAAAAUGCAAAGAAAGCAGACGUCCAGACAGGUAUCGUUCUUUCUGUAAACUCUUAGGUGCUCACACUAAGGCUGGGAGCUGCUCCUGCUUUUUCCCAAAUGCAGUCGUCUGACUUUUUAGUCGUACAACAGACCCAAAAGUCCUUCGUAAGUAGAGAAAAUAUAUCUUAAAGUUUGUACAUUUAUUACUAAAAAACUUUCUGUAUUGUGUAAAAAAAAAAAAAAAACUAAAGCAUAAACUACCAAAAUAAAAGUCAGAAUUGAACCUGUUCUCUUUCAGGAGGUUUUUAAUUUAGGCAUCAUUUUCACACCACCCACUCCCCUCUUCCAUUCUUAAAUUCGCUGUCCUCCUUUCUCCAAACUCCCAAGCCAUGUGGCUCAUAGCCGCUGUUGCUAGGCAACAGCUCACACCCACCAGUAUGCAUAUUAGCACUUAUAUCACCAAAAUACAGUUCUGAAAAUGUAUGACUAUAGUUUAGAAAUAGACCAGGCCCUGCCUUGCAUAACAUUUGGUUCCUGCAGACGUUUUGAUGAAGUUUUCUAGAACUUGGAGAUAACUCGCUUGUCAGCGGUUGGAGGAAACGCUCAAAGCUCAUGCACAGAAAGAAAAGAGUUAUAUCUGAGGAAGUGUGUUGACUACUGUCAUUGCCCGCGGCUGGAUGACGCGUGAACUGCGCGGAUGGCGGCUGGUAUCCCCCUGACGAGCAGCAGUCUGACGCCCCUCGAUCGGCGGCUGCGUGACACAGAAUACGAGUUCAGUCAGCGCGAGACGGCAGACUACUACAGUGCUGCUGCUGCAGCCGGCGAGAGGCGCGGCGAGAGGCGGAACAGCAUCGGGGAGACUGCAGGAGGAGGGGAGAGCGCCCAGCACCGACAACCUGUGAUCCUGCAGCCACAGACAUGUAUGGCAAGCCGAAGAGAGCAAAAUAACAGAAAUAACACGUGAGUUUAGUAGGGCUGUAACAGUGACGAGCAGUCAGAAGAGGAACAGUCUCAAAAUAUAUCUGCAAAAUAUAUCUUCAAGGGUAACCAAACAGGACAGUAGGAAGCUGACUCCACUCUCAGGCCCGAUUUCAAAAAUGAAAAAAAAAA